UGGAGACCCCUGUGACGUCACACAGGCCUGGCCCGCGAGACCUUCCCUCUGGGCUCAGGGACGGUCACUCUGGGCACAAAAUGGACAUGCCAUUCAGAAGAACUCUGUGAUCUGAUGGAUUCUGCUGGGAGCCCAGGAGCUUUGGAGAGGCCAGCUCACAGACACCAGGCCACGUGUCUCUCUCCCAGCUCCUCUCCCCUCAGCAGCAGGCUCUCUGGACAUCACCUCCACCGCUCGUUAGCAGCCCCUGCUGCUGGACACUCCGUGACACCAGCAGGGUCCAGCGGUGCCUUCUCCGGACUUUCGAGGAAAGCAAGUGACAUGAGACUCCAAGCAGUUAAGUGAGACGUCCGUGCCGGACCGCCCGAGCCAUGCUUGGUCUGAGGUACAGCCGGCCCGGCUGCAUCAGGGCGGCGUUCAGUGUGACGGGCACCCGGGCCGGCUUCCAGAAGAGGCAGAGGAACACACUCCAUCGCUUCAAGGUGCUUCCCGCGGGCAGCCUUCCCCUCCCGCUGGGGUGCGGCCG